CAGUAGCCGCGGUAAUACGGAGGGUGCAAGCGUUAAUCGGAAUUACUGGGCGUAAAGCGCACGCAGGCGGUCUGACAAGUCAGAUGUGAAAUCCCCGGGCUUAACCUGGGAACUGCAUUUGAAACUGUCAGGCUGGAGUCUUGUAGAGGGGGGUAGAAUUCCAGGUGUAGCGGUGAAAUGCGUAGAGAUCUGGAGGAAUACCGGUGGCGAAGGCGACCCCCUGGACAAAGACUGACGCUCAGGUGCGAAAGCGUGGGGAGCAAACAGGAUUAGAUACCCCGGUAGUCCCUGUCUCUUAUAC
rnacentral:rRNA from 1 species